CACGGAAGCUCAUUGCUUGGUUGUGGAAGGCAGCCUCCUUGUGAUCACAUGUCUGAGGAAGAAAGGCAGGGACCAGGGAAUGGCAGGGAAAUGGAGCCAGAACCCUAACUGAACCCCACCUGAAAUCUGCCAGCUUUUAGACUUCUACUGAUCAAUUGAUGGAGUGUAUGCUGAUGUAUAGGUUCACAAGAUUGAAGCAGUCUGGAAUGCUAAACCAACACUUGGAGAAGAGCUGCCCUGGAGAGUCAGCCAACUUGCAACAGAUGAUGUGAGCAAGUUUUGGAAUCUUUUGCCUUGAGUGCAUGACCAUCCAGAAACCAGAGUCAGACAAGCCUUAUUCGCCUGAUGAGAUCCAUUGACUAAAAAUUCUUCUUUGCUGUGGUCACUUCUCUGAAUACUAAUCCUAGGAUGGAAACCUAGAAAUCAAUCAUUGUAACACCAUCAGAUGCUGGUUCAUUCUGUUCUGGAAUGUACAUAGGCACAGCAAGCAUCCCAUGGCUCCAACUAUGAGAAAAUACUUAGAAACACAAGGAAAACGUAACUUUCAAGUCUGUCUUUUAUUUCUCUUUCAAGACUUUGAUUGCCAAUAGGACAAGAGCUUUCUUGAUUCAGUUAAUUAGAAACUGAUUUUAUGGAAUGUUAGAUCCUCAGAACUCCUAAAACUGUUAGAUGAAGGUUGGUGCCAGUAGGUUUUGCUUCACACAAAAUAACUAUUCUCUCAGUAAGAAAGUUUUUAUUUGAUAUAUUUUUAAAUGAUUUAUUUUCAAAGCUAUCCAAAGAAUAGCACAAGAACUCUUGGACCAAGAAAAGUUAUGCCAUCUUCUGAAAAUUCAAAAUUAUAUGUUUGUCAUGAGAUUUGCUUUCAAUUUUCAGUUCCCUUAUAGGUCAUUCUGAACUUAUGAUUCAGGUUUGCUUUUGCCUAACUUAUCACUUUUAAAAAUAACACUUCUCUCCAUGAACUAUUUAGUUUGGAAUGGCUAGUAAAAAUGGAAAAGGCUUUAGGAAAAUUUGAAUAAAGAUUUCCUUUAAAGAGAUUUAAGACUUCACAUUUUAGAUUAACUCAACAUAUAACUGGAUUCAAUAGUCUUCCUGUUGCUAAGUGGUCAGCUUUGCAAUCAGAAAAACAGGUAAAAAUCCUGAGUCUACCACUAACUAGCUGUAUGCAUAGGCAAGAUAACUA